rnacentral:other from 1 species
AUUGCCCUGCAGUGUUCGUGAUUGGUCGAGGAAGUUUUGAGCCGACACUCAUAAGCUUCGGGAGUCACGAUGGUCAGCAGCCUAGUGGGAGCCUCUUUUAAGAGGAAUCGCGAAGCGCUGCCUCUGCUCCCACCCUGGUAGUAACUGGGGUUCAAAAACUCGGUAGGCACACGGCACAGCGGGGCAAUG